AGCAUAUCAAUAAGCGGAGGAAAAGAAACCAACAGGGAUUGCCUCAGUAACGGCGAGUGAAGCGGCAACAGCUCAAAUUUGAAAUCUGGCCUCUUUGGGGUCCGAGUUGUAAUUUGUAGAGGAUGUUUCGGGCACCGCUCCGGUUUAAAUUUCUUGGAACAGAAUGUCAAAGAGGGUGAGAACCCCGUCUUGGACCGGCAGUAGGGCCCAUGUGAAACUCCUUCGACGAGUCGAGUUGUUUGGGAAUGCAGCUCAAAAUGGGUGGUAAAUUUCAUCUAAAGCUAAAUAUUGGCCAGAGACCGAUAGCGCACAAGUAGAGUGAUCGAAAGAUGAAAAGCACUUUGAAAAGAGAGUUAAACAGUACGUGAAAUUGUUGAAAGGGAAGCGCUUGCAACCAGACUUGCGCGCGGCGGUUCCCCCUUCCUUUUGGUUGGGUUAUUCCGCCGUGUCCAGGCCAACAUCGGUUCUGGGGGUCGGUUAAAGGCCUGGGGAAUGUAUCUACCCUUCGGGCGUAGACUUAUAGCCCCGGGUGUCAUGCGACCUCCCGGGACCGAGGAACGCGCUUCGGCUCGGAUGUUGGCGUAAUGGUUGUCAGCGACCCGUCUUGAAACACGGACCAAGGAGUCUAACAUCUAUGCGAGUGUUUGGGUGUCAAACCCGGAACGCGGAAUGAAAGUGAACGGAGGUAGGAAGCUUCGGCUGCACUAUCGACCGAUCCUGAUGUCUUCGGAUGGAUUUGAGUAAGAGCAUAGCUGUUGGGACCCGAAAGAUGGUGAACUAUGCCUGAAUAGGGUGAAGCCAGAGGAAACUCUGGUGGAGGCUCGCAGCGGUUCUGACGUGCAAAUCGAUCGUCAAAUUGGUAUAGGGGGCGAAAGA
rnacentral:rRNA from 1 species